UCACCGCUCUGCCACUUGAAGAUCUUGAAAGUGCGCUCCCCAAACUCUGGUUGAAGCAGCAACAAACAGAUGGAGGGAUGAGAUAAAUGGCCCCAAAGAGACCCCGCCGCAAACGUGCAAUGCAAUUAGCCACCAAAGGCAUGACAUAGGACAACUGCAUCCAAGGGAAAAUCCCAUGAUGUUCUUGGCGCAGCUACACCUGGAUGAGGAGCAUCUGCCUGUUGUGCAUUUACAGCGU